rfam:Streptococcus sp. 'caviae' strain Cavy grass 6 NODE_5_length_170626_cov_209.865, whole genome shotgun sequence.
UGAAAACGUUUUACAAUAAUAAUGUUCUUAAAUUUCUUUAACAAAGGAGAAUUUUGUGCUUUUAUUCAAGGAGGACAUUAUUCUUUUUAAUUGAGAAAAAAUAUUUAAAAGGAGGAAGAACAAGA